CGGAGAUGGAGAUAAAUAGGCUUCAUCGGUGACAGAUCGAAGCAGGGGUUAGGUCCAUUGGAUUGCUAUGAGGUCGAGGAUGAAGUGGCAGGAAGAUAGUGGUUGAUGGUGGGGCGACGGCGGC